rfam:Elusimicrobia bacterium RIFOXYC2_FTLL_34_12 rifoxyc2_full_scaffold_3022, whole genome shotgun sequence.
GCUGGGGUGGCGGAAUUGGUAUACGCGCACGUUUGAGGGGCGUGUUCCCAAAAGGAGUGCGGGUUCAAGUCCCGCCCCCAGCA